rnacentral:rRNA from 1 species
UACGUAGGGGGCGAGCGUUGUCCGGAUUUAUUGGGCGUAAAGAGCUCGUAGGCGGUUCGGCAAGUCGGAUGUGAAAUCUCCACGCUCAACGUGGAGGGGCCAUUCGAUACUGCCGUGACUAGAGUCCGGUAGGGGAGUGUGGAAUUCCCGGUGUAGCGGUGAAAUGCGCAGAGAUCGGGAGGAACACCCGUAGCGAAGGCGGCACUCUGGGCCGGAACUGACGCUGAGGAGCGAAAGCGUGGGGAGCGAACGGG